UUGCAUCUUUUGUUUUAGCUGUAAGUUGUUUAUUACGUUCUUCAGGUGAUAAAUAUGCGACUAGCGGUUACAGACGUGAGCGAAGGAAACAAGGAAGUUUAUUUUGGAACCAAGUUAAUACUUAGUUUUUGUUAUUUCAAUUUUUACCUACGAGUGAAGCAGUGUGCGUACAUCUUGUGAUGAUGUGCUGGUUGAAACACUAUAGUAUUGGUUUAAAAUUAUUUACUGGGCACAUUUGAAUGUGAUUUUGUUUUAUAUUUAAUUGUCUGUUAUUACAUCACAUUUCGGGCGUUUGGUUAUGAUUUGGGACGGCGUGCGAAUUUCAUAUGUGAUUUUUUCAUGAAACGUUUGUCAGAUCCAACCACUUGUUCUAAGUUUUCAUAUUGCAGAUGGGAGCAAAUACUUUUUAAACAAGUAUGUAGUGUACUUAUGUACAUCUCACUUAAGUACCUGUACUGUUCAGAAAUUGUGAAAAUGUUACUCCUGUAACGUCGUGAAACAAAUGGCUGAGGUCGUGAUAUAGUGUGUGUAGUUAUUGGAGCUGUUUAUAUGUGCUUCGAUCUCCAGGAAAAACGGAAGUCGAAAUUCAAUGUUAAGAGUUGUGAUUGACGGGGCAAGGCGCACAGUGAAAUUGCCACAUUCACUGUGAGUAGAUCAGCAGGCAUGGACCACAGGAAAACUGUCUGCAUUAAAAAAGAGGAAGUAGAUGAAUUACCUACUGAGUCAAUAUCCAUGGUCUGAAGAUGGACAUCAUUGACCAAAACUAAUUACCUGGUUGAUAAGCUUUUGUGAACUGGGACUCGAUUUAUUACAGAACAGAUGUUUAUUGGAUCAUUGUGAAACAGUAUUAUAAAUAUGUCGCAACUC